AUACGGAGGGUGCAAGCGUUGUCCGGAUUUAUUGGGUUUAAAGGGUGCGUAGGUGGCGUGUUAAGUCAGUGGUGAAAGCCUGCAGCUCAACUGUAGAGGUGCCAUUGAUACUGACAUGCUUGAGUAUGGACGAGGUAGGCGGAAUUUGUGGUGUAGCGGUGAAAUGCAUAGAUACCACAAAGAACACCGAUAGCGAAGGCAGCUUACUGGACCAUAACUGACACUGAGGCACGAAAGUGUGGGUAGCGAACAGAAUUAGAAACCCUAGUAGUCC
rnacentral:rRNA from 1 species